UGUGUUGUUGUAUCUAAUCAAAUGAUUGCUGCUGCUGCUUCUAUUUAGAUAGAAUGUACAUAUUAAUGCAUGUACAGUGUACCCAUGUAUAUAUACAUGGGGCAUAAUAUGGAUGCUUGAAUUAAAGCUAUCAAUAUUACGUGUUUUAAGAUGGUAUGUACAUUGUUAAUUUAACGCAACUGUUCUGAUGGAAUUAUGAAUGAGGACCAAAUGCACUUGCCAUACACAUUAGAAGAGAGA
rnacentral:lncRNA from 1 species